UACGUAGGGGGCAAGCGUUGUCCGGAAUCAUUGGGCGUAAAGAGCGUGUAGGCGGCCCGAUAAGUCCGCCGUGAAAGUCCAGGGCUCAACCCUGGAAUGCCGGUGGAAACUGUCGGGCUGGAGUCCGGAAGAGGCGAGUGGAAUUCCUGGUGUAGCGGUGAAAUGCGCAGAUAGUCAGGAGGAACACCAAUGGCGAAGGCAGCUCGCUGGGACGGUACUGGACGCUGGAGAACGCGAAAGCGUGGGGAGCGAACAG
rnacentral:rRNA from 1 species